CAACAGUGUCGCUAUCUCCACGUACAACUGGGCACAAUGGCAGAGCAACGCACACUGGCAUUUUUGUUCGCAGUUGGCAAGUUCACAAUUAGAGCGAUUGUUUCCGAAAGAGUUUCCCCCACCAGGGAUGGUCCGGGCCCCGCUGAAUGGCAGUGUGGAGUUCUAAUCACUGGACCUCCAGGAAAUUCCCUCUCCAGCAAACCUUGCUAACAAAAUGAAAAAUGAUGAUAAAGAGGAUGAAGCCUGUAGCAAUAAUACCCAACAUUUAUACAGUGUAAGGAGUGGAGCCUUUGAGAGCCGAUUGCAGCAUGACCGUGGAAACCCCCCAGCCCAGAGAAUGGAGAGCACUCUUACAAAAGGCCGGGGAGCACGCUCUUG